CCGAAACCCUGGAGGGUGCUGUGCGGCCUGGCCUGGGAGCCCAUGCCUGCAGAGGGUCCUCCGUUAGCAGCAAGCCGGCCCCCACCCUCGGCCCUGCCCACGGAUGGCACAGACACCCAGGACACUCAAGGAGGCAGAAACCAGGAGGAGGGGCACCCCGCAGAGCGACACUGCUCCUGGGCUCACCUGCGCGGCCGCGCGAACCUUCUGGUACAAGCUGUUCCCGUGCAGAGGAUCUGGGGGCCCUGCAAAAGCUGCAGAACAGAAAAGGCAAGUCGGGGGCAGGGCUGAGCCUGGCACCGCUGCUCCCUGUGGAGCACGGUGCCCUGGGCCCACUCCAGGGUGGCAAGUUCCUGCCACCAAGGCCCUUCUGUCACAGCCAAUGGGAUGCCCUCCUCCAGGACCCUGCAGAGGCCACACCUGAGCAGACCCUCAGCUCCCCCUCACCCAUGCCCCACAGAGGCGAGACUCUCUCCACAGCAACCACCUCGUCUCCCCCAGGGUCGGCAACCCCUGGUGCCUGAGCGGGUGUGGCCUCCCCGAAGCCCACUCUCCCUGCCCCAGGUGCACCAGGGACCCCUCAGAGGCUUCCGGGGCCUGGAGGGAGAAACCAGCGUUCUUAUCACAGCCUGAAAGCUCCACCUAGCCCCACCCAACCCCAGUCUCAGCCGCCUCGAGCUCCCCUGCUCUGAGAGUUCCUGUCAUGAUGAACUGGGGCUUCUUUCCUUAAAUCUUCCGGCCCCAGGGCCCCCCAAGCCUACACCUGGGGCCGCGGCAUCCUUUCAGGGCUCAGGCUGAGAGCUGUGCCUCUGAGAACCCCUCGAGAGCCUCUGUCACAGGCGAAUCCACUCACGCCCCUCGGCCGUCUACCUCCACCCUGGCAGGCUGGUCCCGUGAUUCGGAGACGAUGCUCCUGGCUGUCCCUGGGCCCAGGGCUGGCGGCCACAAGCUGAGUCAAUGGCUGGAUGAACUGACACCCUGAGGCUGCCAUCUUCCCUGCAGGAGCCCAGGGCACCCACCUGCCACCCCACGCUGCCCCUGCUCUGUGACAGAGCAGGAGCAUCACCAUCUUGGACAAGCCCCUCAUUCUAAAGUUCACCUUAACCAAAAACUGCCUAAAUCCAUAGGGCAUCAGCCUAAUGGCUAAGGUCAGCACGACCAUGAACCACAAAUAACAUCUCCAACCAGAAACAUUCCAAACUCCUCCCCAACCAGAGACAUGCUAGCCCCAAGAUAACCCUUCUCCAGCCGGGAAGAUGCCAGCUUCGAGAAAACCCACCUCCAGGCUGAAAAGAUGCCUGCCCCAAGAUAACCUUCCCUCCUUCCAACCCUGCCAUAAACUUCUCCACACACAUAAACAUUCCGAGCUUCUGAUAAGCCCUCUCAUCCUAAAACCAACAUUCAGUCUGUAAGAUAAAGUGCUCCUGACCGCAAUCGGCUGGGGGUGCCUCUCAGGUUUUAACUAAAGAAAAUCUGUCUGUAACUGCCA